UACGUAGGGUGCGAGCGUUGUCCGGAAUUAUUGGGCGUAAAGAGCUCGUAGGCGGUUUGUCACGUCGGAUGUGAAAUCCCGGGGCUUAACUCCGAAACUGCAUUCGAUACUGCCGUGCUUGAGGACUGGAGAGGAGACUGGAAUUUACGGUGUAGCGGUGAAAUGCGUAGAUAUCGUAAGGAAGACCAGUGGCGAAGGCGGGUCUCUGGACAGUUCCUGACGCUGAGGCACGAAGGUCAGGGGAGCAAACGGG
rnacentral:rRNA from 1 species